GGCAUCCAAUAUGCAUACUUCUCCAAAUACGCUCCAUGUUUCUGCCUAUCUGUCCUCCACCUAAAAUGCCCUCUUUCUCCUCCCACCUUCUCUAUAAGACCUAUCUUUUAAGAUGAAAAAUAGGAGGUUCACUUUUAUUUUGCUAAUCCGUCAAAAUACAUUCAAGCAUGGCACAAAAAUUAUAUUCAACACUAGGUUCUGUACCACCUGCUCCCAUGAACUCUUAAAUCUGAAUAAUGUUCAGAUAAUUUUCAUAGGUGGAAGUGGUCAAAACAUACAACCAAUUGUCCCUCCUCCCCAAGUCCCACAUGCCAAAAUGUUUGCAUAUAAACUGACAAGAGGAACCCAGAAGUGACUAAAUACCACUAUGCUUUUUUCUUCACUACAAAUAGCAAUUUUAAGGGUAGACACAUGACAAUGAAGUGUUAAUAUACCAUGAACAGAACAGGUUGCCUUCCUAAUACACAGAAAAUCCUUUUACAUAAUUCAUUUGCAAACUUUAGAAGCCACUAUAUUCCCAUGUUGGGAAUAAUAUGACAACCUUAUUAAACUGAAAACCCUGAGAAAGGUGUACUAUUCCAAUUGACCCAGAUCUUCCCACCAAAACUGAGUAAGUCAAGCAGAGUAGUAUUUAACAAUUACAACGAAAAAUUUCAGAGAAUCAUUUUCUGUAUCCUAGAGGCCACUCUACAGCCACCAAAAAGCUGGACCAAAUUACCAAAUGAAGUAGCCCACAUGUAAUUUGUGUAUCACUAGAAUUAAAAAAUAAGACAGAAAUGUAUGGAAAGUGUACAACUAUUUGAGAGCAAAGGAUUUGACUAUGUAUUACCUCAAUGUGUAAAAACAUCCACCCCGUUUGUCAUAGAGGAUAUAACACUAUUUGUACCAACCAUCCGCUACCCUUUGUCAAAAUGACUACUGAGCAGCUAUAACCUAGCCUAAUAAUCUUAACCUUUCUUCUUACUUCUUUAAAAGCCCUGCCAAUCAGGAAAAAAAAAAAAAAAACUGGCAAGAACUAGACCUUAGGAAUUGAACAGUGACAAGAAGUUAAAAAAUGGUUCAAUAUUAAAAUAUUAUUUUAUUUUAAAGCCCAAUCUUUCAGAAAGC
rnacentral:lncRNA from 1 species